rnacentral:rRNA from 1 species
UACGUAGGGUGCAAGCGUUGUCCGGAUUUAUUGGGCGUAAAGGGCUCGUAGGCGGUCCGUCACGUCGGAAGUGAAAACCCGGGGCUCAACUCCGGGCCUGCUUUCGAUACGGGCGAACUUGAGUUCGGUAGGGGAGACUGGAACUCCUGGUGUAGCGGUGGAAUGCGCAGAUAUCAGGAAGAACACCAAUGGCGAAGGCAGGUCUCUGGGCCGAUACUGACGCUGAGGAGCGAAAGCGUGGGGAGCGAACAGG